rnacentral:rRNA from 1 species
UGUGUAGGCGGUCCGGUAAGUCGGUUGUGAAAGUCCAGGGCUCAACCCUGGGAUGCCGAUCGAUACUGCCGGACUAGAGUCCGGAAGAGGCGAGUGGAAUUCCCGGUGUAGCGGUGAAAUGCGCAGAUAUCGGGAGGAACACCAAUGGCGAAGGCAGCUCGCUGGGACGGUACUGACGCUGAGACGCGAAAGCGUGGGGAAGCAAACA